rnacentral:rRNA from 3 species
UGGGGAAUAUUGCACAAUGGGGGAAACCCUGAUGCAGCGACGCCGCGUGAGCGAUGAAGUAUUUCGGUAUGUAAAGCUCUAUCAGCAGGGAAGAAAAUGACGGUACCUGACUAAGAAGCCCCGGCUAACUACGUGCCAGCAGCCGCGGUAAUACGUAGGGGGCAAGCGUUAUCCGGAUUUACUGGGUGUAAAGGGAGCGUAGACGGCAUGGCAAGCCAGAUGUGAAAGCCCGGGGCUCAACCCCGGGACUGCAUUUGGAACUGUCAGGCUAGAGUGUCGGAGAGGAAAGCGGAAUUCCUAGUGUAGCGGUGAAAUGCGUAGAUAUUAGGAGGAACACCAGUGGCGAAGGCGGCUUUCUGGACGAUGACUGACGUUGAGGCUCGAAAGCGUGGGGAGCAAACAGG